AACGAACGCUGGCGGCAUGCCUAACACAUGCAAGUCGAACGAACCCUUCGGGGUUAGUGGCGCACGGGUGCGUAACGCGUGGGAACCUGCCCUUAGGUUCGGAAUAACUCAGAGAAAUUUGAGCUAAUACCGGAUAAUGUCUUCGGACCAAAGAUUUAUCGCCUUUGGAUGGGCCCGCGUUGGAUUAGCUAGUUGGUGGGGUAAAGGCCUACCAAGGCGACGAUCCAUAGCUGGUCUGAGAGGAUGAUCAGCUACACUGGGACUGAGACACGGCCCAGACUCCUACGGGAGGCAGCAGUGGGGAAUAUUGGACAAUGGGCGAAAGCCUGAUCCAGCAAUGCCGCGUGAGUGAUGAAGGCCUUAGGGUUGUAAAGCUCUUUUACUGGGGAUGAUAAUGACAGUACCCAGAGAAUAAGCUCCGGCUAAACUCCGUGCC
rnacentral:rRNA from 1 species